CCUUUUGAAUAAUAAUUUAAGGUYUAAUYUGCCCMCUGAUAAUUUAUUAAAGGGCUGCAGUAUUUUGACUGUACAAAGGUAGCAUAAUCAUUAGUCUCUUAAUUGGUGACUUGUAUGAAGGAUUUAAUGAAAUAUAAACUGUCUCUAAUUAAUUUAUAGAAUUUAAUUUUUUAGUUAAAAAGCUAAAAUAAUUUUAAAAGACGAGAAGACCCUAUAGAGUUUUAUAAUUAUUUAAAAUUUUUAUUUUAUAUAAAAUUUUUAAUUUAAAUUUAUAUAAUUAUUUUAUUGGGGUGAUAGAAAAAUUAAAUAAACUUUUUUUAAAAAUUUAACAUUGAUAUAUGAAUAAAUGAUCCGUUUUUAGCGAUUAUAAGAAAAAAUUACCUUAGGGAUAACAGCGUAAUUUUUUUUUUUAGUUCAAAUAAAAAAAAAAGUUUGCGACCUCGAUGUUGGAUUAAGAUAAAAUUUAAAUGCAAAAGUUUAAAAUUUUNGANCNGUUCRAUCAUUAAAA
rnacentral:rRNA from 1 species